UGAGUAACACGUGACUAAUCUACCCUCGAGUGGGGAAUAACUGAGAGAAAUCUUAGCUAAGUACCGCAUAACACUUACGAGUCAAAGCAGCAAUGCGCUUGGGGAGGAGGUCGCGGCCGAUUAGCUAGUUGGCGGGGUAAUGGCCCACCAAGGCGAUGAUCGGUAUCCGGCCUGAGAGGGCGCACGGACACACUGGAACUGAAACACGGUCCAGACUCCUACGGGAGGCAGCAGUGGGGAAUUUUGCGCAAUGGGGGAAACCCUGACGCAGCAACGCCGCGUGGAGGAUGAAGUAUCUCGGUACGUAAACUCCUUUCGAUGGGGAAGAUAAUGACGGUACCAAUAGAAGAAGCCCCGGCUAACUUCGUGCCAGCAGCCGCGGUAAUACGAGGGGGGCAAGCGUUGUUCGGAUUUAUUGGGCGUAAAGGGUGCGUAGGCGGUUUGGCAAGUCUUGUGUGAAAUCUAUGGGCUCAACCAUAGCCUGCACGAGAAACUACCGGGCUUGAGUGAUGGAGAGGUGA
rnacentral:rRNA from 1 species